rnacentral:rRNA from 1 species
GAAUCUUCCGCAGUGGACGCAAGUCUGACGGAGCGACGCCGCGUGAGCGAUGAAGGUCUUCGGAUCGUAAAGCUCUGUUGUUAGGGAAGAAUAAGUACCGUUCGAAUAGGGCGGUACCUUGACGGUUCCUAACCAGAAAGCCCCGGCUAACUACCUGCCAGCAGCCGCGGUAAUACGUAGGGGGCAAGCGUUGUCCGGAAUUAUUGGGCGUAAAGCGCGCGUAGGCGGUCCUUUAAGUCUGAUGUGAAAUCUCUCGGCUUAACCGGGAGAGGUCAUUGGAAACUGGAGGACUUGAGUGCAGAAGAGGAGAGUGGAAUUCCACGUGGAGCGGUGAAAUGCGUAGAGAUGUGGAGGAACACCAGUGGCGAAGGCGGCUCUCUGGUCUGUAACUGACGCUGAGGUGCGAAAGCGUGGGUAGCGAAC